UUGAACGCUGGCGGCAGGCCUAACACAUGCCAGUCGAACGGUAACGGGAAACAGCUUGCUGUUUCGCUGACGAGUGGCGGACGGGUGAGUAAUGUCUGGGAAACUGCCUGAUGGAGGGGGAUAACUACUGGAAACGGUAGCUAAUACCGCAUAACGUCGCAAGACCAAAGAGGGGGACCUUCGGGCCUCUUGCCAUCGGAUGUGCCCAGAUGGGAUUAGCUAGUAGGUGGGGUAACGGCUCACCUAGGCGACGAUCCCUAGCUGGUCUGAGAGGAUGACCAGCCACACUGGAACUGAGACACGGUCCAGACUCCUACGGGAGGCAGCAGUGGGGAAUAUUGCACAAUGGGCGCAAGCCUGAUGCAGCCAUGCCGCGUGUAUGAAGAAGGCCUUCGGGUUGUAAAGUACUUUCAGCGGGGAGGAAGGGAGUAAAGUUAAUACCUUUACUCAUUGACGUUACCCGCAGAAGAAGCACCGGCUAACUCCGUG
rnacentral:rRNA from 1 species